rnacentral:misc_RNA from 1 species
CAAAAGGCCACAAAAGUGGCAUUAAUUUUUGGACUCAAUGGUGCUUGCCGCGGAUGUGAACUUGUAAACUUAAAGGUGGAGGACGUUGAAAAUCAUUCCAAUGAGUUGCUGCUGAUUAAUGUAAAGGAGUCUAAGACAAAGGAAAAUCGGUCAUUCAUUGUACAAGGACAAUAUACUAAAAUCAUUCAUAAAUACCAAGCGUUACGUCCCAC